UUUUAGACUCCCGCCAAAUAGUGUCGGGUCCAGACCGCAGCUGGCAUAUAAAUACUGUGCAUUGAUCCUUAAACCCUAAACCGUUCGUUACCAAAAUCCCGAUUGACGAAAUCCCAACGGCUAGGGUUUUGGACCUCCAGACAGCAGUCUCUGAAACUGGAGGCUCCACCUGGGGAAAACCGGAGGUAGUUAAGACCCAUCAACUGCAACAUGAUCAUAGUUCCUGAAGUGAUUGGUGGUUCAUUGGGUUUCACAAUGGGAAGACAUUCAAUCAGGCUGAAAUCAAGGGUGAAAUGAUUGGUCAUUAUGUUGCUGGGUUCUCAAUCUCUUACAAGCCUAGAAAAUGUAGUUCCCUCGCCAUUUUGACCUUGCUUUCAACAAUAACUGCCUUCAUUACAGAAACUGGGGGCUUCACCAGAGGAAAAGACAGAGUUAGUUAAGACCCAUCGAUUUCACCAUGAUCACAGAUAGUUCCUGAAAUGCGUGUUUGCAUCAGGGGGGUUUACGAAGUGAAGAUAUUCAAUCAAGGCUGAAAUGAUUGGACAUUAUGUAGCUGGGCUCUCAAUCUCGGUAUUGUUGUCUAUCAAUUUUUGCAUUUGUCAAUUAACACGAUCUUAAGUUUCAACGAGGUUCGAAGUGAAAGCCCAUGGCUAUGAUCAAGUAAUUUUGAAAGGCUGUAAGUGGUGUUCACCUUCGUUACAUAUAGUGUAGGUAGCUGGAAUUUUGUUUAUAAACCUAUGCUUUCUGGAUUGUUAGAUUUGCAGUUGUUUGACUCUGUGUUGAACUUUUAUAUGGGAAGGUAGAAAAUUCGGGUACUUCCUUAAUUAAAUAUGGUAGUGCAAGCCAUAUUUGGCCACUUGGCCUGAGAGUUAACACACAUGAUCUUGCGCUUCGUUUUGGUGAACUAUUUAUUUGGGCAAGGUUUGCAUCAAUUUAUUUGCCCGUCAUUUUUUUUCCAUUUUUGUAUUGCAUCUUCUUUCCCUUCUCUUCUAAUCAAGCUUCUGAUUUCCUUCAAGUCAAUCUGUUUUAUGGUGGUAUGUGGACACUUAUCGCAAUCAUUGUAGUUGGGCAAUUGUCGAAAAUCUUGAGGUACUUACCUUUUGAAAUCGUGUGUAAAGGUGAUUUUAUUUUGGGGAUCCAUUAAUUCUGUUGGAGCGGUUAGUUCAUGCCAGGUGUUUGGAAGUGCUCUUUUGUGUGUGUGUGUGUGUGUGCUGGUUUCACGACAUUUACUGUCUUGUAACAUUCUUUUGCUGGAGGUUUUGCUGUUAAAUAAACCUCCUCCCAUUCCUUCAUCAUUUGAUUUUACCAAUAGACUGGAUGUUGUUUGGUUAUCAUGAGAUACACAUGACUUAGUGCUAUUGUUCCGUAGAAGUUCCUUUUAAGCCAUGAUAACUUCUUAAAUACUACGUACUCCACCAUUUGGAUACCAAAUUGUGCCCCAUGGUCUUAUGUCCCCCUUACAUUUUGUUUGUUUAGUGCUUUUGAAAUGUUAGGCUUUUGAAAUGGUCUGGUAGUACCUACAGGGUGUUUGCUUCCAUGUAUAGAAAACAAUGCUAUUGGUGGGUAUACCAGGAGUAGUUGUUCAGGCCACUGUAAUAAACUUUUACCAAAACUGUUUUCCAACAGUGAAGAUUUACUUUGCUUCCUUGGGUGGCUAAUUGCUUAGGCAAAUGUUGUGCCCUCUUAUGGCUGUGCCUUAUACCUUGUUGCUAUAACUGAUACUUAGCCUUUGUUACAGAUAUAAUGAUAGUUUCUUUGUCACGAUUAAUAGCUUGCUCAUUGGAUACUUUGAUACUAUCAUGCUCGUUGGUUAUUAGAAUUUCUUCAAGUUUGACUCUGAUAAUGUUGUUUCAGUUAUGAUACUCCUGUCUUGGGUUUAUUAUGUUGCGACAAUAUGCUGUCUAAUCAUGUGAAAAAGAGAAGUGAACGAAAGAGAUGACCCAUAAUGUGAAAAGGAGGAGAGAAUCUACUGAUUGCAUCAAAGGUCUUAAAUCCAUGACACAUGACAAGUAUAGGCUGUGAUAUGUAUCAUACCAACUUCCAAAGCAGGCCAUUAGAUCACUUGAUUAUGGGAAAUGAAACUUUGGUGGCUAAGCAACCGUGGUGACCAAGUAAAUCUUAGGCAUUCUUUGGGUUUGAGCCCAUCCAAUUGGCCAACUGCCAAAAGUUCAUGCUGCAGUUCCCUUUGAUGCCCGUAAUUAAGACUGUCAAAUUGUUUGGGGUAAUACUCGAAGAAAAACCAUAUGGAAAACUAACCAAGUCCAAAUCUUACCUGUAUAAUCAUCUAGCAUGUGUGCACCACAAAAUAUUAGGCAAAGAAAGAACUUUAAAAAGAAAGCUGGAGAGGAGGAGCUUCUCUCUCUAUCGUGGGUUAGAGAGAGAAGCACAUCAUUCUAUAAAGUUUUAUUUGGCUUCCUCUUUCCCUAGAAUUUUUGGACUUCUGUAAUAGUGAGAGACUUGCAUAUGUGGAAAUUUUGGAAGGAGGAUGGAUCAUGUACAUGAACUUUCCCUGCCUAUUUUAUCCUUUAUAUCACAUAUCUGCCUGUUUAAUAUUUUUCUUAAUCUGAUUGCAUUCUUCCACUCAUGAUGAUGUAAUGUUACUCUUUUCUGUAUCAGGUACCAUAUUAUGUGGUUAAGUUGCGAGUGACUUUCUUCAAAUACCGCAAAUUUUCAGAAACUGAAGGUUCCUCCUGGGGAAUAACUGGAGCUAGUUAAAACACAUCAAUUGCAACAUGAUCGUAGUUCCUGCGGCGUCAUUGGGUUACAAUGGAAGACAUUCAAAAAGGCUGAAAUCAAGGCUGAAUUUCCUGGGUUCUCAAUCUCUUACAAAGCCUCCAAAUCGUGGCAGACCUGGUAUCAGUGUCACCCGCUUCUCCAGGAAUAAUUUAUGUGCUGAUGUUUAAAGAUGAACGAUGAAGCAUAAAAAUGGAACGAUUCUAAUCAUUCGUGUGAUGAGGCCCGAUAUGGAUGACGAAGCAUGAAAAAAGAACGAUUUUGAUCAUUCAUGUGAUGAGGUUCGGUGAGAGGGGUGCAGUUCGGUUCCAAACUGGUGACAAACUAAUGCCCUUUUGUAACCAUGUGAGCAUGUGCUAGUGUAGUUGGCACAGUUUCUACCCAUUGCUUGUUACUAGAGUAAUAAAAAUGAAGAGAUGCUUUGAAAUCCUGUAUUCCUCUUUCUCCAGUUUUGACCACGGACUCAUGUAAGAUGAUGAAUUUUUUAGCUCAAGUGUGCAAUAACAAAACGGGUUUGUUGGUGGCCCCAA